rnacentral:rRNA from 1 species
UACGUAGGGGGCAAGCGUUGUCCGGAUUUAUUGGGCGUAACGAGCGUGUAGGCGGCCAGGUAGGUCCGCUGUGAAAACUCGAGGCUCAACCUCGAGAUGUCGGCGGAAACCAUCUGGCCAGAGUCCGGAAGAGGAGAGUGGAAUUCCUGGUGUAGCGGUGAAAUGCGCAGAUAUCAGGAAGAACACCCGUGGCGAAGGCGGCUCUCUGGGACGGUACUGACGCUGAGACGCGAAAGCGUGGGGAGCGAACAGG